AUGAACGCUGGCGGCGUGCCUAAUACAUGCAAGUCGCGCGAACGGACGAGAAGCUUGCUUCUCUGAUGUUAGCGGCGGACGGGUGAGUAACACGUGGAUAACCUACCUAUAAGACUGGGAUAACUUCGGGAAACCGUAGCUAAUACCGGAUAAUAUUUUGAACCGCAUGGUUCAAAAGUGAAAGACGGUCUUGCUGUCACUUAUAGAUGGAUCCGCGCUGCAUUAGCUAGUUGGUAAGGUAACGGCUUACCAAGGCAACGAUGUAUAGCCGACCUGAGAGGGUGAUCGGCCACACUGGAACUGAGACACGGUCCAGACUCCUACGGGAGGCAGCAGUAGGGAAUCUUCCGCAAUGGGCGAAAGCCUGACGGAGCAACGCCGCGUGAGUGAUGAAGGUCUUCGGAUCGUAAAACUCUGUUAUUAGGGAAGAACAUAUGUGUAAGUAACUGUGCACAUCUUGACGGUACCUAAUCAGAAAGCCACGGCUAACUACGUG
rnacentral:rRNA from 1 species